rnacentral:tRNA from 1 species
UUGGCUUUUAACCAAUUGGUCGUAGGUUCGAAUCCCACACGACCCA